rnacentral:rRNA from 1 species
GACGAACGCUGGCGGCGUGCUUAACACAUGCAAGUCGAGCGGUAAGGCCCUUUCGGGGGUACACGAGCGGCGAACGGGUGAGUAACACGUGGGUGACCUGCCCUUAGCUCUGGGAUAAGCCUGGGAAACUGGGUCUAAUACCGGAUAUGACUCCAUAACGCAUGUUGUGGGGUGGAAAGCCUUGUGCGGCUAGGGAUGGGCCCGCGGCCUAUCAGCUUGUUGGUGGGGUGAUGGCCUACCAAGGCGACGACGGGUAGCCGGCCUGAGAGGGCGACCGGCCACACUGGGACUGAGACACGGCCCAGACUCCUACGGGAGGCAGCAGUGGGGAAUCUUGCGCAAUGGGCGAAAGCCUGACGCAGCGACGCCGCGUGGGGGA